ACUAGGGAUUAGAUAACCUAUUAUUAAAAAUGUAAAUUUUUUUACUUAAUUAGUAUUAGUUAUGUUCUUGAAAAUUAAAAAAUUUGGCGGUAUUUUAGUCUUUUCAGAGGAACCUGUUCUAUAAUCGAUAGUCCACGAUUAGAUGCACUUUAUUUAUUAGUUUAUAUAUCGUCGUAGUUUAAAUAUUUUAAUAGAAUUAUAAAUAUUUAAAAUUUUUUAUUAAAAAAUAAAUCAGAUCAAGGUGUAGUUUAUAAUAAAGAAGAAAUGGGUUACAAUAAAUUUAUUUUAAAAUAAUUUUUGUUAAAAAAAUUUGAAUUUGGAUUUGAGAGUAAUUUUUUAGAUUUUUUUAAGAUGAUUAAAGCUCUAAAAUAUGUACAUAUCGCCCGUCGCUUUCAUUUUAAAAUGAAAUAA
rnacentral:rRNA from 1 species